rnacentral:rRNA from 1 species
CCAAUAGCGUAUAUUAAAGUUGUUGCAGUUAAAAAGCUCGUAGUUGAAUUUCGGGAUUGGCGCAUCGGUCGUGCCUCACGGGGUAUGAACUGGUGCAGUCAAUUUCUCACCUUCUGGAGAACCGCGAUGUCCUUAAUUGGAUGCCGCGGGGAACCAGGACCUUUACUUUGAAAAAAUUAGAGUGUUUAAAGCAGGCAUUUUUGCUUGAAUACAUUAGCAUGGAAUAAUAAAAUAGGACGGCAUGGUUCUAUUUUGUUGGUUUCUAGGACCACAGUAAUGAUUAAUAGGGAUAGUUGGGGGCAUUAGUAUUCAAUUGUCAGAGGUGAAAUUCUUGGAUUUAUUGAAGACUAACUACUGCGAAAGCAUUUGCCAAGGAUGUUUUCAUUAAUCAAGAACGAAAGUUAGGGGAUCGAAGACGAUCAGAUACCGUCGUAGUCUUAACCAUAAACUAUGCCGACUAGGAAUCAGACGAUGUUAAUUUUUUAAUGACUCGUUUGGCACCUUAC